rnacentral:lncRNA from 1 species
GUUUGGAGAAAGAGGAUGACAGGCAGCCCUUCAGGAAUGCCUUUCCACACGGGUGAAUCUUUCUACACAGUUGUACCAAGAUUCGGGUGACCUCACAUGGAAACCUUAAAUGGCUCCCACUCCUCAUCAUUCAUCUGAGUGUCUGCCAUAUGCAGUAUACUUCAGCAACUAUGGCUCCAAAGGCAGGCCAGGAGGGACAGACAUCCCAGCUGGAAGAUGCAACUGAGAUGAUCUGGUAGGAGCCUGUCUUCAAGGGAGGGCAUGCCAGCCAAUCACACAGCACUCAUCUAAGCCCUCCUUGAGAACUGCACACAGCUAUGCCACACAGAGAAGGCCUUUACCACAUGUAACCAAAUCAAUCAAUGCAAAGCAAAACUGCCUCGAGACAACUCCCUUGCCCUAUCAGUGUGAUGAAGAUCUGAAGAUCGGCAUGUCUGAUACCAUCAGUGUAGGUGAAAGUGUGGAGAAAUAAGUGUUUAACGUGACCCUAAGAGAGGAAGAUACUCCAGCCUCUUUGACAGGAAAAUAUGACAAUCCAAUCCCCUUGACAGAGCAAUAUGACAGU